UUGAGGUGCCAAACGCGUAGGACGUUGAAGGGUGUAGGCAAAUCCGCACUUUGAGUCCGAAACGUGAUGGCGGUGCCUUAGAGCCACAAGUGAUUGAGCCAUGCCGCCAAGAAAAGCUUCUAAGCGAUGAAAUUUAAGUGACCGUACCGCAAACCGACACUGGUAGGUGGGUAGAGUAUACCAAGGGGAGCGAGAGAACCUUCGUUAAGGAAUUAGGCAAAUUUCCCCCGUACGUUCGCAAUAAGGGGGGCCUCUGGCGGUGAGCUUUGCAAAGCUGCUGGAGGCCGCAGUGAAAUGGCUCUUCCAACUGUUUAACAAAAACACAGGUCUCUGCUAAGUCGUAAGACGAAGUAUAGGGGCUGACGCCUGCCCAGUGCUGGAAGGUUAAGGGGAGAGGUUAGGGGUAACCCGAAGCUUUGAGCCGAAGCCCCAGUGAACGGCGGCCGUAACAAUAACGGUCCUAAGGUAGCGAAAUUCCUUGUCGGGUAAGGUCCGACCCGCACGAAUGGCGUAAUGAGAGGAGCACUGUCUCAACGAGGGACUCGGCGAACAUUGAAGGACGUGUGAAGAUACACGUGACCCGCAGCGGGACAAAAAGACCCCGUGAAGCUUUACUAUAACUUGCCAUUGAGUUAGGGCUAAACUUGUGUAGUAUAGGUGGGAGGCUUUGAAGCUGGGACGCCAGUCUCGGUGGAGCCACCGCUGAAAUACCACCCUGGUUUAUUCUUGGCUCUAACCUGUCGCCGUUAUCCGGCAUGGGGACAGUGGCUGGUGGGUAGUUUGACUGGGGCGGUCGCCUCCGAAAGAGUAACAGAGGCGCCCAAAGGUUCCCUCAGGCUGAAUGGAAACCAGCCGUUGAGUGUAAAGGCACAAGGGAGCUUGACUGCAAGACCAACAAGUCGCGCAGGUACGAAAGUAGGGCUUAGUGAUCCCACGGUUCAGAGUGGAAUGGCCGUGGCUUACCGGAUAAAAGCUACUCCGGGGAUAACAGGGUAGUCUGGUCCAAGAGUUCAUAUCGACGACCAGGUUCGCCACCUCGAUGUCGGCUCAUCACAUCCUGGGGCUGGAUAAGGUCCCAAGGGUUGGGCUGUUCGCCCAUUAAAGUGGUACGUGAGCUGGGUUCAGACCGUCGUGAGACAGGUCGGUCUCUAUCCGCUGUGGGCGUAAGGGAUUUGAGAGGAGCUGUCCCUAGUACGAGAGGACCGGGAUGGACAGACCUCUAGUGUGCCAGUUGUUCCGCCAGGGGCAUCGCUGGGUAGCUACGUCUGGCAGAGAUAACCGCUGAAAGCAUCUAAGUGGGAAACUCGUCUCAAGAUUAGAUCCCUCAUCCGUAUGGAGUAAGACCGCUAGAAGACUACUAGUUUGAUAGGCGGCAGGUGUACGCAUAGUAAUAUGUUCAGCCAAGCCGUACUAAUGGUCGAGGGCUUACGAUA
rnacentral:rRNA from 1 species